AUCUAGUGUAGCUCUUAGGGACCAUGUUCUGUGUUGAUUUCUGUAUCCAUUUCUUGGGAGGAGGGAUCUAUAAAUGCACAGUUAACUACUUCAAUCAAUGAAAGGAACAAGCACAAAGAGGCCAACACCACCACAGAGACCAGCAUUGCGCAUUAAAAUCAUCCCUGCAACAGUACUGGGAAACAAUGGUCCUCUGAAUCAUGGAUAAUUAAUUAGCUGCUGCACUGCUCAUGAUCUGUAUCUAUCAAUCUUUGAGAGAUGUGCAAGAAUUUGAUGGAAGACAUGGAAAUCUGUGCAUGAGUCUGCAGGCAAAGGGAGCCUCCUCUGCUCUGUGUUGUACUGGAAGUAGGUAGGAGCUGAAACUCCCCCACCUAAUGAUGAUUACACCAAAAGGCCUCAUAAAUUCACAUAAACUCUGCAAAAAAUAAAUGAUUAGCUGACCAAUUUAUCAAAAAGAGAAAAGAAGGAAGAAAAAAAAAAACAGAGAACAGAUUCUGGUGAGAAGUAGUCUGUGAGGCUUCUACCAAAAUUCAUGCCAAGUCUUUAAUUCUUGAGAACAUGAUUCUUAAAACUGAUAGAGUACUACUUCUGCUUGAGUUUGUAUAAAGAACAUGUCAUGCACAUUUUCCACUGCAAUCUUAAAGGUCUAAGGGGUGAUGUCAUAUGAACAAGAUGCAGAGGAUAAGGAACAUGAAAU
rnacentral:lncRNA from 1 species